CCUACGGGUGGCUGCAGUGGGGAAUAUUGGGCAAUGGAGGCAACUCUUACCCAGCAAUGCCGCGUGAAUGAAGAAGGUCCUCGGAUUGUAAAGUUCUUUAAUUGGGGACGAAAAAAAUGACGGUACCCAAGGAAUAAGCCUCGGCUAACUACGUGCCAGCAGUCGCGGUAAUACGUAGGGGGCAAGCGUUGUUCGGAAUGACUGGUCGUAAAGGGUGUGUAGGCGGUGUAGCAAGUUCGAAUGGAAAUACCUAGAGCUUAACUCAGGUGCUGCUUCUAAAACUGCUAUACUUGAGUGCAGUAGAGGAAAGUGGAAUUCCUGGUGUAGCGGUGGAAUGCGUAGAUAUUAGGAAGAACAUCGGUGGCGAAGGCGACUUACUAGACUAUAACUGACGCUGAGGCACGAAAGUGUGGGGAGCAAACAGGAUUAGAUACCCUGGUAGUC
rnacentral:rRNA from 1 species